CUGCCCGGGUUUUAUGAUCGGAGUUUGCUCUCCUAGGUGUAUUACCUAUGACGGCUCACGAGCCCAACCUGCCCGGGUUUAUUGUUCGGAGUUUGCUCUCAUAGGUGUAUUACCUAUGACGGCUCACGAGCCCAACCUGCCCGGGUUUAUUGUUCGGAGUUUGCUCUCCUAGGUGAACUGCCUACCACGGCUAACGAACCUCACCUGCCCGGGUUUGUAAUCGGAGUUUGCUCUCCUAGGUGGACUGCUUUCGCUAACGACCUCCACCUGCCCGGGUUUGUAAUCGGAGUUUGCUCUCCUAGAUGAAUUGCUUUCGCUAACGACCUCCACCUGCCCGGGUUUGUAAUCGGAGUUUGCUCUCCUAGAUGAACUGCUCACGCUAACGACCUCCACCUGCCCGGGUUUGUAAUCGGAGUUUGCUCUCCUAGAUGAACUGCUUUCGCUAACG